GAAAUAAGAAACUCAAAGAUAAGCUUCUAACUUAAUCUUUAAGCAAUGAAAUUUUGUUUUUAUUUCU
rnacentral:tRNA from 1 species